rnacentral:rRNA from 1 species
GACAGAGGAUGCAAACGUUGCUCGGAUUUACUGGGCGUAAAGCGCGCGCAGGCGGUUCUGUAAGUCGGACGUGAAAGCCCGGGGCUCAACCUCGGAAGUGCGUCUGAUACUGCAGGACUGGAGUACUGGAGAGGAGAGCGGAAUUCCCGGUGUAGAGGUGAAAUUCGUAGAUAUCGGGAGGAACACCAGUGGCGAAGGCGGCUCUCUGGACAGAUACUGACGCUGAGGCGCGAAAGCGUGGGAAGCAAACAGG